AUUUUUAAUUGGAAUCCUGUAUGAAUGGCUGAAUGAGAUACAUUCUGUUUCUUAAAAAAUUCUUGAAUUUUAUUUUUUAGUAAAAAAGCUAAAAUUUUUUAAAGGGACGAGAAGACCCUAUAGAGUUUUAUAAUAUAAUUAUUAAUUUUAUUUAUAUAUUUUAAUUUUUAAUAAGUUUAUUAUUUUAUUGGGGUGAUAUUAAAAUUUAAAAAACUUUUAAUUAAAAAUUUAUAAUAAUUAUUAAAAAUUUGAUCCAAAUUAUUUGAUUAAAAAUUUAAAUUACCUUAGGGAUAACAGCAUAAUUUUUUUAUAAAGUUCAUAUUAAUAAAAAAGAUUAU
rnacentral:rRNA from 1 species